AGAGUUUGAUCCUGGCUCAGGACGAACGCUGGCGGCGUGCUUAACACAUGCAAGUCGAGCGAGGCCCUCCUUCGGGGGGUGCCCUAGCGGCGAACGGGUGAGUAACACGUGGGCAACCUGCCCUCAGCUCUGGGAUAACUCCAAGAAAUUGGUGCUAAUACCGGAUGUGACCGCUGACCGCAUGGUCUGGUGGUGGAAAGAUUCAUCGGCUGAGGAUGGGCCCGCGGCCUAUCAGCUUGUUGGUGGGGUGAUGGCCUACCAAGGCGACGACGGGUAGCCGGCCUGAGAGGGUGACCGGCCACACUGGGACUGAGACACGGCCCAGACUCCUACGGGAGGCAGCAGUGGGGAAUAUUGCGCAAUGGGCGAAAGCCUGACGCAGCGACGCCGCGUGAGGGAUGACGGCCUUCGGGUUGUAAACCUCUUUCAGUAGGGACGAAGCGCAAGUGACGGUACCUACAGAAGAAGCACCGGCCAACUACGUGCCAGCAGCCGCGGUAAUACGUAGGGUGCAAGCGUUGUCCGGAAUUAUUGGGCGUAAAGAGCUCGUAGGCGGUCUGUCGCGUCGGCUGUGAAAACCCGAGGCUCAACCUCGGGCCUGCAGUCGAUACGGGCAAACUAGAGUACUGCAGGGGAGACUGGAAUUCCUGGUGUAGCGGUGAAAUGCGCAGAUAUCAGGAGGAACACCGGUGGCGAAGGCGGGUCUCUGGGCAGUAACUGACGCUGAGGAGCGAAAGCGUGGGGAGCGAACAGGAUUAGAUACCCUAGUAGUCC
rnacentral:rRNA from 1 species